rnacentral:rRNA from 1 species
GCGAGAAACCUCAGCAAUACACGAAAGUGUGACUGGGUUACCCAAAGUGUUCAGUUUUGAACUGUGGUAGGUGAGCAAUGUCCCCUACUAGAAAGGAGAGGGCAAGGCUGGUGCCAGCCGCCGCGGUAAAACCAGCUCUUCAAGUGGUCGGGAUAAUUAUUGGGCUUAAAGUGUCCGUAGCCUGUUUAGUAAGUUCCUGGUAAAAUCGGGUAGCUUAACUAUCUGUAUGCUAGGAAUACUGCUAAACUAGAGGGCGGGAGAGGUCUGAGGUACUACAGGGGUAGGG